AACGUAGGUGGCGAGCGUUAUCCGGAUUUACUGGGCGUAAAGGGUGUGCAGGCUGCCCCUCAAGUGGUGUAUGAAAGGGCUCGGCUCAACCGGGCUAGGUUAUGCCAGACUGAGGGGCUAGAGAGCGAGAGCGGGACGUGGAAUUCCGGGUGUAGUGGUGAAAUGCGUAGAGAUCCGGAGGAACACCGGUGGCGAAGGCGGCUUCCUGGACCGACACUGACGCUGAGACACGAAAGCGUGGGUAGCAAACAGG
rnacentral:rRNA from 1 species